rnacentral:tRNA from 1 species
GGAUGGGUGGGUGAGUGGCUGAAACCACCGGUUUGCUAAACCGACGUACGGGGAAACUUGUACCGCGGGUUCGAAUCCCGCCCCAUCCG